UGAGACAGGUGUAUAUAGAGUGCUGUAUCUGGAAGCUUUUCAGUGACAAGGGCACAAUCUUGUGAGUGAAGGUCGUGACUCACGUGAAAGGGUAAAUGACCCCUUCUGUGCUGCAGCGAGAGGCAGCAUAUCUGAAGACUUUUCAAAUAGCCUUGAACUAAGGUCUCUGCAGUUCAACUGCCAGCCAACUCACAGGUUGAUUCUGCAAUUUCUUACCAACCCUCCCCCACCCCCCCAAAAAAAAACCCUUACAUUUCAUCCGCACUGAAAAUAUUUAUGAUCUCAUUUUAACAUCGAAGAGUGGACUGUAUUAAGGAGACAAGAGCUCUGUCCAGCUCUGCUGAGUACUGGAGGGGGUUUGGCUAGACAAAUAGUUAUCAAACUUUUUUUUUUUUUGGCUAUAAGACCCUGACUUCAAACGUAUCCUGACAAAGAGGCUCUCUUUGUAAGAUGUGAAAUCAGGUACAUUUAUUCUUUCAACAAGGAUUUGUCAAGUUUCCUUCAUGACAGGCACUGAGGACACAAUAGUGGCUUUUGGUAGAAGAGGACUGAAUGAAUAAUGAUGAAAGUGUAUUUCACCUCCCUCAAGAAAAAAAUGACAAAACCCAUGAAAA